GGGGAUCUAGCUCAAUGGCAUAAGCACCUGCCUUGCAAGCAGGCAGUCUUGAGUUUGAUCCCUG
rfam:Cavia porcellus supercont2_2 genomic scaffold, whole genome shotgun sequence.